GUGUCAGCCGCCGCGGUAAGACGGACCGUACGAACGUUAUUCGGAAUUACUGGGCUUAAAGGGUGCGUAGGCGGCUCAGAAAGUUGAAUGUGAAAGCCCUCGGCUUAACCGAGGAAUUGCAUCCAAAACUACUGGGCUUGAGUGAGACAGAGGUGAGCGGAACUCACGGUGGAGCGGUGAAAUGCGUUGAUAUCGUGAGGAACACCGGUGGCGAAAGCGGCUCACUGGGUCUUUGCUGACGCUGAGGCACGAAAGCUAGGGUAGCGAACGGGAUUAGAUACCCUUGUAGUCC
rnacentral:rRNA from 1 species